rnacentral:lncRNA from 10 species
AUAAGAUUUUGCAGUUAGUAGAAAUAUAAUUAUUAUUCUGAUGGUAGCAAGGUUAGGGUUAUUAAAACAAAACAAUAGCAAGGAACCUGGCGUAAACCAUUGAAAAUACGAGAAAUACAGAACAAUUGAUAGAGCGAAGUGUAUAAAUUAAGAUGUUGGGGAUGUAUGACAUUUACCUUGUAUCCUGCUUCACUGAGAUUGUUUUAUGAGAUGAUCUGAGGAUAAAGGAUUCAGGGCAUGGAAAUUAGUCUUUAAAAGUAGAAAAGGCUUAGAAAGGCUGGUAGAGAAAGUUUCCCAGGAGUUUAAUAAAGGAAAACAAGGAUUCCUGAGCACUGUGAGUGUUCCACUGAAGAGAAGUGAUGGUGAUUAUUUGGGUUAUCUGAAUACUAGGCAGUCAGAAAGUAAGCUCUCUGGAAUGGAAGAUACUGGCAUGUUCCAGGGAGCAAGUAUGUGGUUCCAGUGUAUCUGUUUGGUAGAUAAAAACAAUGUUACAAAUCAAAUUAUACCUAUCAGAUAUCCCAUUUAAUAUGUUGCUGAACAGAUACUGGUGACAAUGUAAUAGAAAGUAUUCAAGCAUCAGAAGGGUGGUUGGACAGGAUGAACCCUGGGAUUUCCUUUCAAUAGUGUGGUUUAUGUGCAGCAGAUUUAUGUACAGUCCUUUACAAAUCCUCAAUUGUAACCAGUAUUGCUAACUUAAAAAAGAUUAACUUUGCCUCCUUCACCCGUUUUCAGGAGGGAGAAGAGACUCAGAAUGCUUGUGAGGCCUUAACUGACCAGAAAGCGUUUUUGGAUUUUGUAGACCAAAAAUAUUCAGUACACGUAGAAGUGUUAAAGUUUGACUUGAAAGCAAUGAAAGACAUUUGGCUGCCACCUAAUGUCCUAUAGCUUUGAUAUAGUUUUCCAAGAUAGUGCCAUAAAGAAGGUGCCCAGUAAAUAUUAGAUGAUUAUCACUCUUGAAUUUUCAAUUUUAAGUGUUUCGUGGGUAUUCCUUAGCCUUAUGCAGCACUUAGCAUUGUAUCCUUCACUAGUAGGGACCUUUUUUCUGAUGUUUAUAUUUGGCCCAUAGUAUGAGAGACUCAGUAUAGUGGGCUCUGUGGGGACUGAUAAAUCAGUGUGAUGUGUGAAGGCCAGAAAUGAAUUAAAAGUGACUCUGUUAGGGAAGUUUAUGAAUUUGCUGAUAGCUGCAGCAGAUACACAGAAUAAGCAGAAAGAUUGGUUAGCCACUUUUUAAAAAAGCUGUCUGCCAGUUUGUUUUUGACUAAGAAAGUUGGAUUUAAGCUUAGUUAGGGAAGUUUAUGUUGUACUUAUAGAUGAAAAUAGUAUACAUUUAUAACUAUUUGACAGACACAAUCUAUAGUGUAAACAUCACUUUUUUCUUACACUUUUUUGAGAUUGGAGUAAUUUCUUGAAAAGGGGAAUCGUUACUUCUAAAUGGUAGUUGGGCUUGGCUUCAGAUGACACAGUUGUAGACCCUUAGUAAGUAAUUAUGAAAGAAGAUCAUGUAGAUAAUUGUAUCAUAACUCACUCUUUUUUUUU